GUGUCACCUCUAAGUGGUUCAUCCUGCCCAGUGUACACCCUGUAUAAACGGCCGCGGUAAUUCGUGCUAAGGUAGCGUAAUCCUUUGCCUCUUAAUUGGAGGAUAGUAUGAACGGAUAAACGAGAGUUUCGCUGUCUCAUUAAGAAAAAUAAAAAUUAUCACUCGGGUGAAGAGACCCAGAAUAAAAUGAAAAGACAAAAAGACCCUGCAGAGCUUCAUCCUACUCCCAUCUAUUAAUUUAUACUAGAUACAAAAUUUCUACAUGCAAUAAGAUUUGGUUGGGGCAACCGAGGACUAACUAAAACAUCCUCCCACAAACUAAGACAAAUACGUCACAAAAAGAUCCGUUUAAACCCGAUCAAAAGCAUAAGCUACCUCAGGGAUAACAGGCUAAUCCCUCUUAAGAGUUCACAUCAACAGAGUGGGCUUGGUACCUCGAUGUUGGCUUAGGGUCAGCCAUUUUGGUGCAGAAGCUUUUAUGGCAGGUCUGUUCGACCUUUAAACCCCU
rnacentral:rRNA from 1 species